GUGGCCUAGUGGUUAGGGCGUCCGCCUUGGAAUCGGGAGGUCGCGGGUCCGAGUCAUACAAAAAUGGUCCUAACA